CUCUCUCUCUCUGUUUUCCUUCUCUGUCGACGGUCGCGUUCCGAUUCUUACAGUCUUACGACAAAUUGCUUGUUUUGGCCGUUCUCAGGCAGCCGACCCGUUUGCACUCGCACUCGCUCUGCCGCGAGUUUUCUCGCGUCGCGUUUCCGCCGCCAACUUCAGGUUCCCACGCUUUCGGCGCGCCAGCCACGGGGAGAGAACGCAGCCGCGGCCUCCGUUAUCGCGGCCACUGCCUCUCACGAGAGCAAGGUGACGUCUUCGUCCUCGUCGAGGCAAGCGUGCGCCCACGCAUAACCUCUCGGCGCGAGAGAUCCAUCACGGGAAAGAUCGGAGCGACGGUGAUUCGUCGCGAACGCGCGCCGAAGGGCGCCUCGAUGUCCGGCGCAGCGGCGACGCUGAUAAGGCCGUUGACUCGUGUUCGGCCGCGAAAUUCCGCGAUACCGCCAGGGCCGUAAAAGAGACCACCGGUCUGUGGACGACUCGCGCGCGCUCUUCACGUCCGCCACGUUUGUCGUUCGCGAGUGCUCCGACCGCUCUGAAGUCCUCUCCGAAAGAAUAUCGCGCGACUAUCGCAGCGAAUCGUGAACGUAAGAAUACCUAGACGGAGCGCAAGAUGCAACGCGGCCAUGAAUAACGCGUGUCGUCGUCUCGGCAAGUUAGUAGUCGUGAACAGUCUCGACGACACUCACGAUGAGCCGCAAAACGUGAUCCUCUCUGGAGCACACAGAAAAACACAAAUUGCAUUCAGGUGAAAGUCUACACGAUGAGGGGGGCGAAGCGGGGACUCGAGACGCUACUGAUCGGAGCAGAAUUCGUACAGUAGAGUGUGGUGGUGGUGGCUGAGCGAGGAAGGUGAGUUGUGAUCGCUGGGGCGUGCGGUGGGGAGCGUGCAGCGGUUACCACGCUAUGCGACACGUGCGCGUGACGUCACGGGGCCGGUCACGCGAGCACCGUGUGCUCCCGGUCACGUGUCCUGUCACGCGUUCGCCGUUCCAUUCCUCCCUCCUUCUCCUCCUCCUCCUCCCUCUCUCUCUCUCUCUCUCUCGCUCGGCCUGCUGUGUGCCGGCCGGCGACAGCCCACGGCUCUCCUUUCUCGUCGCGACUACUCCUUUCGAACAUGCACGUAUACGUCGUCGCCUCUUUCGUGCGAGCCGAUUACGCUCCAAGUGCAUGUUCUUCCUCCCUUCGCCUCUCUCUCUCUCUUUCUCUCUCUCUCUCUCUCUCUCUCUCUCUCUCUUUGCACCAUCACCGGAGCCUUCACCCCGCCACCCGCUUCCUCUCUUGUAAUAUGCCUUAAGGUCGCGCUUUAUGAUUAUCUUUCGACUUUAGCGUUUACGUUUUAUGCGUUUUACGAUUAUCUUCUGACCUUUAGAGUCUUAAUCGCGGCCGGGCAGGAUUUUGCGAGCGGAGCUAGCGUAUAUUUAUAUGUUCUUCCACUUGAGACUUUAUAAAUAAAGAUAACCUUUCCCCCCUCCUCUGUGUGUGCGUGUGUAUGUGCGCGCGCGCGCGCGCGGGCGUUUGUGCGUCGUGUUUUGUGUUUCAAGCGGCUAAUUAAAAUUCCGCAUUAAUAAAGUAGCACGAUAAGCGCGGGUAUUAUUUAUAUUAAUUUGCUCGCGGCAUAGCGCAUCUAAAUUUGCCGUGGCUCGUAAAAUUGUUCGGUACAAACAAUAAUAGAUAUUUAAAGUGUGCGCGACGCAAAUAUAAAUGAAUAAUUUAUAUAGUUUUGAGAUAACGCAGGACCUCUACCUAUACGUAACGCGUGACUUGUUUGGCUCAUAUGCAAAUCUUAGUUCACGCAGAUAAUCCUGCGACCUGAGUUGUUUGUCGGCAAUAUGUUGCUCUCUUAUCGUAGACUCGUGGCCUCCUCUUCUUCACUCUGCAUACAUUGUUUAAAAUUACGUACGUUGCGUCAUUCUUAGCCGCUCCAUAUUUCUACGCGCGUUACCUCUCGUCGUUAUCCGAAGAGCGUCCCUCUCGACAUCGUUGUUCUCGCGUGUCUACCACCGCGACUCUCGAGAGUGAAUCUCGUCGUGAAACGAUCCCUAAAUAGACCUUCAUGAUUAUUACGACGUCAGACAAUCGCUGAUGGAAACUUUUUCAAUUACAUUUAUGAAGCAACAUAUUGAAUUAAUCGUUAAAUUUACAUCACGCAAUGACGUAUGUUUUUCAUUAUAUUUAUGCGACGAAUUUUUAUUAAAGAUUGGACUCAGAUUUUCAUCUUGCGUAUUGUAUCGAGUAAAUUUUCUUGUAUUUUUUUCUCGUAUUUAUACUUUAUUGUUCUACACUAAAUAAAAAAUAGUUGAGAAUUUAUUUGUGGAAUAAAAGCAUAUUUCACAGAAAUAAACUUCGUAUUCGACAAAGAAAUUUUUCAAUAUUUCUUCUUCAAUAUAUGUGAGUAUCAUAUGAAUCACUAACAUGAUACAACCUUUACAAAUCGACUAACAAAGCUGCCAAAUUUACGUGAGAGAGACAUAAAUACAACUGUUUAUCUAAGCUGCGAGGGAAAAAAAUUUCGAUAAAAAAAAGAAAGAUUUUUUAAAUGUUCAGCACAAAGAUUACGACACUUAUUCGGACAGAUUUGUACAAGACAAUGAUAUUUAUGCUUCUGCGCGUAUAAAUUGCUUAUAUGCAUCUCAUAUUUAAGAAUUCGACAGCUUUCAAAGCUCUCAAUGCUCGAGCUAGUGUCUACCAUUAGUCGACGAAAAUUUCAGUUGACUAAAGUAAUCGGCAAACCAACCAUUAAAAUUAAACAGUUGUCAUACAUUAUGUAAUCACGAACAAUUCCAUCGACUGGUGAAAUUAAUUAUUAAUCGAGCGCAUACACUUGAUUGAUUGAAUAUACACUGAUUAAUAAUUAAUUUCAUCGAUCGCGAUUAAAUUAUUCGUGAUUACACACAUGUGGUAACUCAAGGCUCAAAUCCCCACAGAGACUCGCGCAGUCUCGUGAAAUUCGCGUGUUCAUAAACCUGUGCGAAAGAGGAAGUGUCGCAAGCUUAAUGCGGACAACUGUAACGCUAGGAUUUUCCAAUGCAUAUAUAUACAGGACGUCUCAGACUCUCUUCCGCAAUUUUUGUGAAAACGUAAAACAGAUUGAGGUGAACAUAAAAGCCCUAUACCAUUUUGGGGUCAUUCGCAAUAAUAACUAAGAUAAGAUUAAUUAAAGAAGUUUGGUGAAUGAUGACGCGCAAUAUGGUAAAUGAGCUGAAGUGACUAUGUGUGCUGUGCAUCAGAUCAAAUUGAACAAAAAAAUCUUUUAUCAAUUUGCAAAUAAUCACGUAGAUUUUUAGUUAUUAAUGGAAGAAAAUUGUCACAAGAUUAUACGCAAUAGUGCACAAAUUUUUUUUAAUUAAUAUGUAAAAAUCUAUGUGGUUACAUUUGCAAAAUGGUAGGAGACUUUUUUAUUCAGUUUAAUUUAAUAUAUAAGUAUACAACAUUAGAAGGCGUCACUACAACUCAUCUAUCAUAUCACACAUGAUUAUUCACCGAUCUCCUUUAAGGACUGAAGGGUCAGGUUGCCUGAAAAUCAUGCUUGUUUUUUCACAAUUUUUUAUGAUAAGUGUGAACCACUAGAAAUUGAGUAACAAAAUUGCAAAUAUUUCAAUGGAAUAUUAUUAAAUUUUCCGUUCUUUUAUAGUAAAAAAAUUAAUAUCAAAAUUAAAUAUUUUCAUGGGUUUGUCAGUGGUUCACAUGAUAACAACAAGCUUAUGGAAAUUUUAUACCUAAAAUUCAACUUAAUUGAACCACCGAAAGUCAAGAUAUUACUGCAAAAUGUCGACUUUGAAAAGAAAAACGAAAUAUAUUUUAACUGCAUAUAUCAUAUAGACUUA